ensembl:snoRNA SNORD24 Small nucleolar RNA SNORD24
UGCAGAUGAUGUAAAGAAUAUUUGCUAUCCUAACAACGAUGCCGACAGCCAACCACCAAGAUCGCUGAUGCA